rnacentral:rRNA from 1 species
GGCGUGUACUGCUUGGCUGGGCCUUACUUCUUGGUGAGCCGGCGUGCCCUUUAUUGGUGUGCGUCGGGGAACCAGGACUUUUACCUUGAGAAAAUUAGAGUGUUCAAAGCAGGCCUAUGCCUGAAUACAUUAGCAUGGAAUAAUAGAAUAGGACGUGCGGUUCUAUUUUGUUGGUUUCUAGAGUCGCCGUAAUGAUUAAUAGGGACAGUUGGGGGCAUUGGUAUUGAGUCGCUAGAGGUGAAAUUCUUGGAUUGACUCAAGACCGACUAUUGCGAAAGCAUUUGCCAAGGAUGUUUUCAUUAAUCAAGAACGAAGGUUAGGGGAUCGAAAACUAUCAGAUACCGUGGUAGUCUUAACAGUAAACUAUGCCGACUAGGGAUCGGAUGACCUCAAAAUUGAUGUGUCAUUCGGCACCUUACGAGAAAUCAAAGUCUUUGGGUUCUGGGGGGGAGUAUGGGUCGCAAGGGCUGAAACUUAAAGGAAUUGACGGAAGGGCACCACCAGGUGUGGAGCCUGCGGGCUUAAUUUGACUCAACACGGGGAAACUCACCAGGUCCAGACAUAACUAGGAUUGACAGAUUGAUAGCUCUUUCAUGAUUUUAUGGGUGGUGGUGCAUGGCCGUUCUUAGUUGGUGGAGUGAUUUGUCUGGUUAAUUCCGAUAACGAACGAGACCUUAACCUCCUAAAUAGCCAGGCCGCCUUCGGCUGGUCUCUGGCUUCUUAGAGGGACUGUCAG